UUGACAUUAAAAGAGCUUGCUUUUAAUUACCCCCUUCUAUUGCUGAACAUUACAAAUGAAAAUUUUUUCCUUUGCUUCAUAGAUUUCAGGAUUUUUGAAAUAAAUUUUGUUUUCAUUCUUGUGGCUGCUUCAGUUUCGUUUUCUUUGUUAUCCCUUUUUCUUACCUCACUGCAUUUUAGAACAUUCCAGAAUGUCCAUUAGUAGCAAUUUCUGCUAUUGGGGGUCCCUCAAAGUUUGUCCAAUAACUUAUAACAUCAUAUCGAUCAUCAUAGAAAGGAGACAGUUCAACAUUGAUGGUUGAUGUAAGCAUGUUCUGAUUGAAAUGGACUCUUUGUCCUGUAUUCUUGUACUUGAUGUCUUUCUAUUCUAGCAUAGAUACAUAAAAUUUGACAGAAAUAGCUGUAACUCUGCAGUUUCUACCAAAUUAUGCGCACAAGUUAUUUUGCAUCUUAACAUAAUUUUCAUGCUACUAUCAUAUAAUGAAAAAGGUUUAGAUUUUCAACUAUUAAGGAUAAUUUGUAUGAUAUUAGCAAGUGAUAAUCAACUCUAGUUUUUGUCAGUGUCUGGAAAAGCGAUAUGCCCGGUUAUUUGUUACAUUGCAAAUGCAUCUUGGAAACGAUGUUAAAUCUUCUAUAAGAGACAUGGAAAGUUUCAUUAGAAUGAGUUGGAACCUUCUGGCAAAGAUUUCUUGAAAGCCCUUGUAGAUUAUUUUGAUGAGAAGGGAAAUGGCAUUCCUCUUUAUGUCCUUGGUGAAGCCAAUAUUUGGGAUUCUGUAAAUGUGAAAUUUAGCGACAUGCUGAUGUUAAUAUUGAAACGAUUUCGGAGGGUUAAGAAAUACAAUUUCAAGUUUGCUUCAGGGAGAAGAAAAUGACACUUCUCUGCUCGAUUUUUUGCUUGCAGCAUUUCACUCUAUUGUUUAUAAUAUUUUCAAAUUCCUUCUGCUUGAUUUGGAGAUUGACACAUAUUCAGAGAAGGUACUGCACAAAAAGCUCCAAGUUUAAAAGAGGUUCCUCCUUGCAAAACUCCUUGGUGAAGACUUUUGGUCUUGCUCAUCAUCAUAUAGGUGGGGCCGCAGGAGCUUUGUCUCCAGUGGUACAGCACAGUAUAGUUAGCUUAGGCCUUAGGGUGGUUGUACUUAUGGGUUUUAUUCUGGUAAUUUCAGGAUUCUUCUAUUGUUAAGUAUAAAAAGAAAACCCUACCCUUUGUAUAAAAAAAAGUCACUCAUAACCUUCUCCUUUAUAGUGAACAAUCACAGGAGGCUCUUUGGAUGUAGGCACAUUGCUGAACCAUGUAAAAUUCCUCGUCUUGUUAUUCUCUUUCUUCCUGCAUUUACUGUUCUAACCAGUAUGUUUGUGUGUUAUACAAGUAAAUUUUCAACAUUUGAUUCUCAUUUUCAUGUUCCAUUCUUCUUGCAAUAUUCUGGGAUUUUAUUUGAUGUUUCUUCCAUCUCUUCAUGGAAGCUUCUGCAUGCCAUGCUUUCCUUAUUUUGCUCUGGCUUCUUGCAUCAGCUCUCAUCAAAUUUCAAUUAUGAUAAAAUAGCAGCAUUUGGCAAACUGCUGUGAUCAGUGUAAGAGAUUGGUUGUGAUACUGAUGUGUCCAUUGUUGAAUGGUUGUGAUCAGUGUAACAGAAUAAUGUGAAUGAAAGCACUGUUUGUGAGAUAGUUAUAUUAAGGAUACAUCUUCUAGUUGGAUGUUACACUAUUAUUUCUUGGAAGCUUUUCAAUGCCAUGUCAUCUUCUUGUUAAGUGAUAUAUUAGGUUGGUUCUUGAGUCCAUUUGACUUUGUUGCUAUUGCUAUUUCUAUUGCAAAAUCUCUUGUAAAUACAUUUGGUAUGUGCUAUAUUUAUGACUUUUUGUGGUAAAAAUGUCAAAUCUUCAAAUCUCCAUUUCGUUUUGUUGUAGUUUCUAAAGUUGAUUGAUAAUGAUGAAUAUAAAAAACUUGGAUUCAAUUUCAUUGGUUAGUGUAUUUGUGCUCAUUAGUUAGUUGCUUUCAAGUCCUUGAAUAUCAAUUUAUAUAAAGCAUUUGGCUAAUUUUACAAAAAAAUUGUUUAGCUGUUGACCAUGAUUCUUCGUUACGGUUGCGAUGGCCCCAUUUCUGUCACAUGCGACCCCCAACUGCUAUCAUGGCUGUGACUGAUUUAAAACUGCAGAUUUCUAGUUCUUAUCUUUCCUUAACUGCAUUUUUACAUGGUUUGUAUCAUUCAUAUUAGUAUUGUUUUAAUUUUUAUAUUAAAUAUUAAACUGAGUAGUCUGACUUAUUUUCCCUUAAUAUAUUUUAGUUCAAGAAGGACUGAUUUAAAACUGCAGAUUUCUAGUUCUUAUCUUUCCUUAACUGCAUUUUUACAUGGUUUGUAUCAUUCAUAUUAGUAUUGUUUUAAUUUUUAUAUUAAAUAUUAAACUGAGUAGUCUGACUUAUUUUCCCUUAAUAUAUUUUAGUUCAAGAAG
rnacentral:misc_RNA from 1 species